rnacentral:rRNA from 1 species
GUUGUAUGGUUAAGUGACUAAGCGUACACGGUGGAUGCCUUGGCAGUCAGAGGCGAUGAAGGACGUGCUACCCUGCGAAAAGGGUUGGUGAGCUGGGAUGGAGCGCUAUAGCCAACCAUGUCCGAAUGGGGAAACCCACCUAAGAUAACUUAGGUAUCGUUAAGUGAAUACAUAGCUUAACGAGGCGAACCGGGAGAACUGAAACAUCUAAGUACCCCGAGGAAAAGAAAUCAACCGAGAUUCCGUUAGUAGCGGCGAGCGAACGCGGAGCAGCCCAGAGUCUGAAUCAGUGGAUGCGUUAGUGGAACGGAUUGGAAAGUCCGGCGAUACAGGGUGAUAGCCCCGUACACGAAGACGCAUUGCUGUGAGCUCGAUGAGUAGGACGGGACACGUGGUAUCCUGUUUGAAGAUGGGGGGACCAUCCUCCAAGGCUAAAUACUCCUGACUGACCGAUAGCGAACCAGUACCGUGAGGGAAAGGCGAAAAGAACCCCUGUGAGGGGAGUGAAAUAGAACCUGAAACCGUGUACGUACAAGCAGUGGGAGCACCUUCGUGGUGUGACUGCGUACCUUUUGUAUAAUGGGUCAGCGACUUACAUUUUGUAGCGAGGUUAACCGAAUAGGGGAGCCGUAGGGAAACCGAGUCUUAAUAGGGCGAAUUAGUUGCAAGGUGUAGACCCGAAACCCGGUGAUCUAGCCAUGGGCAGGUUGAAGGUUGGGUAACACUA